AUGGAUGGCUAUGUGCUUUUUAGGAAAGACAGGCCAGGAAAGCGAGGUGGUGGAGUUGCCCUUUAUGUGAGAGAGCACCUGGAAUGUAUUGAGCUGUGCCUAGGGGUGGAAGAAGAGCGAGUCGAGAGCUUAUGGGUAAGGAUUAAAGGGCAGGCUAGCAUGGGUGACACUGUUGUGGGUGUUUACUACAGGCCACCUGAYCAGGAAGAGGAAGUCGAUGAGGCCUUCUACAGACAGCUGGAAGUAGCCUCACGAUCCCAGGCCCUGGUUCUCGUGGGGGACUUCAACCAGCCUGAUAUCUGCUGGAAAGACAACACAGCUAGGCACAAACAGUCCCGGAGGGUCCUGCAGAGCAUUGGUGACAACUUCUUGACACAGGUGGUGGAGGAGCCAACGAGGAGAGGUGUGCCGCUGGACCUUGUACUAACAAACAAAGAAGGACUGGUGGAAGAUGUGAAGGUCGGGGGCAGCCUUGUCUGCAGUGACCAUGAGAUGGUGGAGUUCAGGAUCCUGCGAGGAGGAGGCAGGGCACUAAGUAGGAUCGCAACCCUGGACUUCAGGAGAGCAAACUUUGGCCUCUUCAGGGACCUACUUGGAGGAAUCCCACGGGUUAGGGCCCUAGAAGGAAGGGGCGUUCAAGAGAGCUGGUUAAUAUUCAAACAUCACUUCCUCCAGGCUCAAGAGCGGUGCGUCCCCAUGAGUAGGAAGUCAAGCAAAGGAGGUAGGAGACCUGCGUGGAUGAGCAAGGAGCUUCUGGCAAAACUCAACCAGAAGAAGGAAGUAUACAGAAAGUGGAAAGGGGGACAGGCCACUUGGGAGGAAUAUAGGAACGUUGUCAGAGUAAGGAGGGAUGCGACGAGGAAGGCUAAGGCCCGUUUGGAAUUAAAUCUGGCUAGAGAUGUCAAGGACAGCAAGAAGGGCUUCUUCAAAUACAUCAGUAGCAAGAGGAAGACUAGGGAAAAUGUGGGACCGCUGCUGAACGGGGUGGGUGCCCUGGUGAUGAAGGAUGCAGAGAAGGCAGAGUUACUGAAUGCCUUCUUUGCUUCAGUCUUUACUGCUCAGGCCAGCCCUCAGGAACCCCCGGCCCUGGAGGCAAGAGAGAAAGUCUGGAGAAAGGAAGACUUUCCCUUGGUGGAGGAGGAUCGGGUUAGAGAUCAUUUAGGCAAACCUGACACCCACAAAUCCAUGGGCCCCGAUGGGAUGCACCCACGAGUGCUGAGGGAGCUGGUGGACGUUAUUGCUAAGCCACUCUCCAUCAUCUUUGAAAGGUCAUGGAGAACAGGAGAGGUGCCUGAAGACUGGAAGAAAGCCAGCAUCACCCCAGUCUUCAAAAAGGGCAAGAGGAGGACCCAGGGAACUACAGGCCAGUCAGCCUCACCUGCAUCCCUGGAAAGGUGA
ensembl:lncRNA